rnacentral:pre_miRNA from 2 species
AAUUUGCAUUUCAAUUUAGAAACACAAAUCAUGUGUGGUAUGUUUUAACUCAUACAUAACUUGUGUCUCUUAGAUCAAAUGUGAGU